GACAUAGGUGGCGAACGUUAUCCGGAAUUAUUGGGCGUAAAGAGUGCGUAGGCGGUUACUUAAGUCGGAUGUGAAAGCCCUCGGCUUAACCGAGGAAGUGCAUCCGAAACUGAGUAGCUAGAGUACUAAAGAGGGUCGCGGAAUUCCCGGUGUAGAGGUGAAAUUCGUAGAUAUCGGGAGGAACACCGGUGGCGAAGGCGGCGACCUGGGUAGAUACUGACGCUGAGGAGCGAAAGCGUGGGGAGCGAACAGG
rnacentral:rRNA from 1 species